rnacentral:misc_RNA from 1 species
GGUUCUUGACUGCUUGUCAUUAUAAUUGCAUCCUUAAUUAUAUUUUUUUUAAUCAGGAGAAAAAGUACAACAUAGGUCAUAAUUAUAAUUAAACAAAAGUAUAAUUAUGAAAACAAAGUCUCUUUUUUUAAGAAAAAAAUAUAAAGUCUAUACUUGUGCACCAAAGCGUGUAAUAGGAAAUUAACCAUAUAUUCCUUAGAUUUAUAUUUU